CGCAAAUCUGCGCCCGCCUCACUCACCACACCGCGCAUAGUGCCGCCGGAGGUGGUCCUCGGACGGCUCCUCUACUACUUCCUGCCGUUUCUCCCCUUCCUUCCCAUGCAUUGCCUCUGGCUUCAGCAGGCUCAAUACAUGGCGCAUUAGGGUUUCGUGGAUACUUCUCUCGGCGAUUAGGUGGCGCGUGCAUUGAUAAUAUUCUUGCGUUGUAGUUCUUAUUUUGCACUCCCAAGCAAGCGCGUGGUCAUGGUUGUAAUUUUAAGUGUGUCUCGUAGUUUGCUGCAUGGAAUAGUCGGAAUCUCAAAGACAUUGUCGAUGGACCAAACAGUCGGGAUGCUCUCCGAGCAGCCGCCGAAGUAGUAGCAGCAGCAUCUGGAGCUGCGUUAGCAACGUGGGAUUUGAUCGCGGUUACUUGUGAUUGUUCUCCCCAUAGUUUUUGACUUGUUCGGAGUGCUCUUGUGGUCUAAACUGACACUGUCUUCUUGUGUGAGCUCUAUGAUUGACUGUCGCUCUUACAGAACCGUUUUGUUUCCCAUGUAGUGGAUGAUUAUGUACACAGAAGUGUCCUAUUGUAUCAUCCGUCAUGUUUAGUCUCAUGCUCACAUGGCGUCCAUUUUUAAUGGACUUGUUUAGAUGGGCCUUUGACUUUUGGGGUAGUUCAAGUAAAUUUUUUAAAAAUCGAAAAGACGUGUGUUUAUUACUUUUUGGGAUGUGAUGGUAAGUGUGUAUAAUUGUCCAAAAUUCGAUGGUUUUUUUCUUUUGCUUUACUGUUCUUUUUGGGAAUUGGGCGCUUGAUAUUUUGGUGGAUGCCACCAAAUAAAUACAUAGAUGUUCACGAUUCUGUAUGAGUAAAUUUUGAUAUCACUUUUGAUACUAGAAAAAUAACCAUCUGUGCUUCUCUCAGUUUUUGAAUUAGGGUUAUUACAGUUUUAUUGCAAGCAAUUAUCUCAAGUCUACUGGACAUGAAUAAUAUGAUUUAAAAAAGGUCCAUUUCAACAUCCAUCUAUGAAGAUGGAAACAUACGUGACGUUCCGUUGAUCCAAAUGCAAAUAAUUGACUCAACUUGGAUGAAUGAUGUACUUACGAUGGGGGGGACGAACGUUUUCGCAUUCAUCCAAGACUAUUGGAAGCCUUCCCGAAAUCCUAAGGGAGCUCUGGAUGUCGAACUUCGACAUCGGAUGUCUUGGAAAUCGACCUCAUUACGAUAAAUUGUGUUUCCUUUUAGAGUUUUGACGAAGCAGCCUUGGCUCGCAUGACUAUUUCAUGUCGAUUGCAGUGAACUGCUGAAUCACUUUUUCUUCUGAAAUCGUCUGGAAGUUGGAAAUGUAGUUUUCUUUGAGUCGUCGAGUGUUCACCAGUGUGUUCGUAGAACUCGUGGUUGCGAAUGAUCAAUCGGUGCGGUAUGGGAGAAGCACAAUGAUUUACAGCUGAGGAAAGAAAAAGAGGUUUCGAAGCUUGAUGAGGGUUGAGGUUGAAUCUGAAACCGCCGUCAAAGCUAUGAUCGCUGAAGAGGCUUCUUUAAAGGAGAUUGGCCUGUCUCGUUCCAGGCAGCUUGAACAACGAUAAUCUGCCCGUACUUGCUUAGUCUGCAACUUGAGAAUCCUACACGGGAGCUUAUUUUUAUAAAGAUGGCCAGUUUGGAGUGUUAUGCAAAACUCAAUAGCACAACAGCUGGGUCAGUCAGCAUUAGUUUAUUCAGCGAAUUAGGCACAUAUGAUUUCCCAUUUAUCAUUGUGUGCAGAAGAGGAGAAGAUUUUUUGGUAUUGGGAAGUUGCGGGCGUAUCUUACGUUUUCUAGAGUCAAUAUCCAGGAAAAAGAUCGCAAAAAUAUGAGAGGCUUUACGAAACCGUUUCAUUAACUUCUAUAUAGAUUCAACCCAACAAUUCACUUCCUUCUUCUGCAACUUAAUCGGGCUUCACUGUUCUCCAAGGUCGACCCGAACUACGACUUCUUGACAACUUAUUUGUUUGCUGUUCAGUGAUUGUAGUUGUGAAGUCGAUGCUUCAAAUGGAAAGCUAAAACGGAACUCACCAAGCGGUUAUUCUAGCAGGCUCCGCUUCUGUAGGAUUAUUCACAUCUGAAAGUUUUUUUUAGCUCCAGGCCUCUCAACAAAUUGAUUCUGUAAGAAAACUGCCCGGUCGUUGACACCCAUUAAAGAGUAGAACGGAGACAGUUUCAUAAGGAAUUUAGUUUUAGAUUACAUAGAGUUGAUUGCUACUACGGAAUUCAUAUUGGUAAGUGUAGCUUAUACCAGAUCUGAGAAAUUUAAACGAAGAAGUUUCCAGAUACAACUACGGGACUUUCAAUGCAGAGACAAAUCAUUGGACAUGGUCCGCAGUAGCAAUCCGACAUUUUUUAACUUUUA